rnacentral:rRNA from 1 species
CCUACGGGAGGCUGCAGUGGGGAAUAUUGGACAAUGGGCGAAAGCCUGAUCCAGCAAUGCCGCGUGUGUGAAGAAGGUCUUCGGAUCGUAAAGCACUUUCGACAGGGACGAUGAUGACGGUACCUGUAGAAGAAGCCCCGGCUAACUUCGUGCCAGCAGCCGCGGUAAUACGAAGGGGGCUAGCGUUACUCGGAAUUACUGGGCGUAAAGGGCGCGUAGGCGGCUUGGCCAGUCAGGCGUGAAAUUCCUGGGCUUAACCUGGGGACUGCGCUUGAUACUGCCAGGCUUGAGGCCGAGAGAGGGUGGUGGAAUUCCCAGUGUAGAGGUGAAAUUCGUAGAUAUUGGGAAGAACACCGGUGGCGAAGGCGACCACCUGGCUCGGUACUGACGCUGAGGCGCGACAGCGUGGGGAGCAAACAGGAUUAGAUACCCCAGUAGUC